AUCCUCUGGGUACUUAAUGUAGGCUAUAGUCUUGCAUUGACUGUAUAGAAAGAGAAGGCAGACUAAGCCUGCAUAUGUACACCUCAGACCAUGUAUAUACCUGGUUCUUUAUUGUGGAUGGAGCAGGAAUGG
ensembl:snoRNA